rnacentral:rRNA from 1 species
UACAGAGGUCUCAAGCGUUGUUCGGAUUCAUUGGGCGUAAAGGGUGCGUAGGCGGCGCGGUAAGUCGGGUGUGAAAUCUUGGAGCUUAACUCCGAAACUGCAUUCGAUACUGCCGUGCUUGAGGACUGGAGAGGAGACUGGAAUUUACGGUGUAGCGGUGAAAUGCGUUGAUAUCGACCGGAACUCCGGUGGCGAAGGCGAGGUGCUGGGUCCUUUCUGACGCUGAUGCGCGAAGGCCAGGGGAGCAAACGGG